GUGAGGAAUAUUGCGCAAUGGAGGCAACUCUGACGCAGCCAUGCCGCGUGCAGGAAGAAGGCGCUACGCGUUGUAAACUGCUUUUAACCGGGAAGAAACCCCAGGACGUGUCCUGGGUUGACGGUACCGGAGGAAUAAGCACCGGCUAACUUCGUGCCAGCAGCCGCGGUAAUACGAAGGGUGCAAGCGUUAUCCGGAUUCAUUGGGUUUAAAGGGUGCGUAGGCGGAGCGUUAAGUCAGUGGUGAAAUCCUGCAGCUUAACUGUAGACUUGCCAUUGAUACUGGCGCUCUUGAGUGCGCUUGAAGUAGGCGGAAUGUGCCGUGUAGCGGUGAAAUGCUUAGAUAUGGCACAGAACACCAAUUGCGAAGGCAGCUUACUAAGGCGAUACUGACGCUGAGGCACGAAAGCGUGGGGAGCGAACAGGAUUAGAUACCCUAGUAGUCC
rnacentral:rRNA from 1 species